UGAAAGAACUAGUACAUACGGUAC
rnacentral:siRNA from 1 species